CAAAAACCCACAUGAAUUUCUUAACCCAACACCCCAUUUUCUUCAAGAAAAGCUUCUUAGCUUCGUUAAUGGCGGACCCAGAUGGCUGGGGAUCGAAGAAGAAAUGGGCAUUCGAAGAUGGAUGAAA